GUCAUAGCAUUAAAAAUAAAUAAAUUAAAUAUUUUAGUUAAGAAAAACAAAAUAUUUACAAUUUUAGUCACAUAACUAACCUUCUUUAUGUACAUACAUUAUGAUUGUUAGCAUUUUUAUAGCAUCAACAUAUUCGACAUGUGUUUACAAUUAUAGAAAGGUGAUAUGAAGAAGGCCCUGUUUAAAUGAGUGGACAAUCUUGGAUCUGUGGAUUUAAGCUAGGCUUGCCCAAGGUGUCUUGCCCAUGACCAGUAUUGUGGUCUGAUUGGUGAGAUCUAAUCCUGGGUAUCCGAGCAGCAACGUUACCACUGCUCUAACCAAUCAAUAUCAUAAUUAAUGGUUUAAUUUUCUCUCUUUCCAUUUAUAGUUUUUAAUGCAUUUCAUAAGCAAAAAUGUAAAGUGAUCAUAUAAAUGUAUAUUCAUUUACAAAGAUAUACUAGUUCAACAUUCAAGCCUCCUUAAAAAUGUAGUGGGUUUAACACUGAAAAGGGAGUUAUGGUCUUGUGACCAAAAAUGUAGGCCAAGAGUAUACUUGAAAAAAAAAAUAUAUAUAUAUAUCCAGUAUAAACAAUUAACACUAACAUAAAUGAGAACUAUUAUUUCUAUUAUCAAGAAAUAAUACAAUAUUUGAUUGUCAUGGUUUGACAAUAAUCUACACAUUGUUUACACUUGUUAACU